AAGCGCAUCGAAAGGUAGCGUGCCGCUUGCGGCCGGCGCACAGGUGCUGCAUGGCUGUCGUCAGCUCGUGCUGUGAAGUGUUGGGUUAAGUCCCGCACGAGCGCAACCCCUGCUGCCUGUUGCCACCACGAGAGGUGGGGACGUCAGGCGGGACCGCCGGUGACAAACCGGAGGAAGGUGGGGAUGACGUCAAGUCAUCAUGGCCCUUACGGCCUGGGCUACACACGUGCUACAAUGGUCGGUACAAAGGGUUGCCAAGCCGCGAGGUGGAGCUAAUACCCAUAAAACCGAUCGUAGUCCGGAUCGCAGUCUGCAACUCGACUGCGUGAAGUCGGAAUCGCUAGUAAUCGUGAAUCAGAAUGUCACGGUGAAUACGUUCCCGGGCCUU
rnacentral:rRNA from 1 species